rnacentral:sRNA from 1 species
ACUACUCUCGCUUUUCUAAAUUGAUACAGGCUCUAACUGUAUUCUAAAUACUUAUCCUUAGAUCCAUAAAUAAAUAAAUACGACUCUCCCCACCAAAAGCUGCUUUUAGCAGCUAAAGAGACUGCUUGCAGACACAAUUAGUCAAACAGCCCCAACUGAGACAUUUACAAUAUGAUUCCUACAUCUAAAGCUCAGGGAACAUCACAGAAGACAGAGCUUAAGAGCCUCAGCCCCUGAAAGAACACCAGGAGACAGUGUCUUCUAGACAUGUCAGGGGAAUUGCACCCGUGACUCUUAACCAUAUGGGUACUCACACAAGACCUGCACAGGACCAAACUAGUUGGCAUGCCAACAAAGAUGAGGAAGUAUUUAACAAGGCCAUAACACUAGGUGAAGAGCUACAGACAAGCAAUGGCUCUUGAGAGAGGAAGAAUCAGUUUUCUUCUGGGAAACACCCCUGAAUGGUUUGCACUUUGCCAUAGUCAGCCUGGAAGAUAAGUACAUAAUAGCAUCACUAACUGGGCUCAGUAAGUAUGCUUAAUAGUAUAUGUAUGUACACACACACACACACACACACACACACAUGCACACACACAUGCACACACACACACACACAAAGUAGAAAAGGAAAUUUCUUAGACAUAAAUUUAAGAAGGGGUGAUAGGAAGGAAGGAGGAAUUGGAGAAUGGUUUGUAAACUAUAUAAUUUAGUACUCAUGCAUGAAGUUUCAAAAAAAUUAAAGUUAAAGAAUAAAGUUAUUUCUGUGUAUGAAAUACAAUCUUACACAGACUCUGUCACUUGUUCAACUCCCAAUUGUAUAUAUUUGCAUAACCUUGGCGUAGGAAAAGCUUUUGGGAGCCAGUGGAUCCUACCACCUUUAGGUCAUAGACAGUAUUCAUGAGACCCCUUCAGAUCAAAUGAUCCUCCAAAGUCCAAAACUACACCAGCAGAAGAACUGGACCCAACGUCCAAAGUUUGGAAAGGUAUGUGGUUAAAAAGUCCACAUCUAAUAGUAACCCUGCUUCUUUGCAUGGUCCUCUCAACACUAGGAAUGGACUUGCUAGAAUAGCCAUUUUUUUAAUAAAUAAAACCCACAAUGCCAGUAAAUUAUGUGCCUAAGUAAUCCAAGUGUCCAAUCUAAUAGGAAUUGAUUAAAUAGAUCUAUAAAGCUAUAAAGGAUUCCGUCUUUUCCGUGACAUAAAAUAAUACCUAGGUCGUGUUGAUUAAAAACAAGAAAAUCAAAGAUGAAGGAAAGUCCCACCCAUGAAAGAUAUUUUACCCCACGUGCACUGAGGUGUACCAAUUGCCUUCACACUUUCAGGCUGUCUUUUUUGCACCCUCCUUCACUGCGCUUAGUAGGAGUUUUGUCUCCGAGCCCAGCUAACUUACCGAAAAGCUUGGCCAUCAUCCACUAGCUGGGUGAUCUCCGUGUCUCCCAUGUGAAACAUUCAGAGACAACCAGCACGUCCCUCAUCAGGGCCUGGGAGCAUCCCCUGAGACCUGCUAAGGGUGUCCCGGACAGUGCUCACUGCAGGUACACAACCGAUGGACACGUCCCGUGACACUCAUCUCUGAAAACCUAGAGGAACUCAAACCUCAUGGCUUGAGUUGACUUUACUUUGGCUGUUUUAUUUCAUUAAAAUUUAUCUCGUUAAAAAAAAAACAAAAAACAAAAAACAACAACAAAAAAAAAACCACUAUGAAUCAUUCUGCUCAUUUCUCAUCCUGAAGUAAAGUGGAAAAAAAAAAACCCUAGUGUUUUUCCUUUUUUUUUUUUUAAAGUAGUGCUUACCCUAGUAAUCUCUGGUAAUAUUAGACAUUGCAAUGUUCAGUGUUGCUUUCUAACGAGAAUUCAUUAGCUCGUAAACUGCUCUUCUGAGAAGUUACUAUUAAUUGAGUCACUCCCAGGAAAGUCGGUUGUAUGUAUCAGGUGUAACUGAAGGCACGCACGGCCCCGUGAGAUACCACAGCACACUACACCUUCUUCUCAGGGACCCUCUCUCCUUAUUCCUGUGGGAGGGCGAUCAAGCAGGGCCUCGCAGAGAAGACUAAGCCUUUUCCGAGUUAUGUAGCCAUUUUCAAGGUCAGCCAGACUUUUCUCUAAGGUCCACCCGAGUACACUCUGAGGUCUAAGGACACCACUUAGUCUAUUUCCACAGACCACAAACCUGAAACAUUUCUGUGACUUUAUAACCUAGAAUCGAAAUUCAGUCUUUUGGUGCACCUGAUCCACUGUCUCUUCAGACCACACGCACUGCUUUGAAAUUUAGUACAAGUUGUGACAAGACUGCCAAGAACAAGAAAUCAAGUAUAGGCUGUCUCUGAACUUGGCAAAAUGCUGUCAGAGGACCCCAGGCCUGAAGGUGCCCUGUAAGCCACAUACGGCCUGAGGUUUCUUGGAGCCGGUUAGUCCACUCAGCUCCUCUCCUCCUAGUUCUUCCCACCGCUGAUGAGUUAUCCUUCUUCAGUUUCUACUUCUUGGAAAACUGAGAAACUUGGAAAACUCUGCAGAAUUAAAAUAGCCCAUUCAAGGUCAGGAGGGCAAGCAAGAAAGAGCUGGCAAACGGCAAACUGCCAGACUGGAAAGCCCAAGAGUGUGAGCCCUCUGCCUCUCACUCCCGCCCUCCCAACCCUGCACCCUGGAUCUUUUUUCUUGACAAGUCUCCCAACACAGUUGGAGGAAGACUGUCUUAGGGAGGCAUUGAAGAUUUAAACUCCAGAUUGUCAAAGAACCUUCGAAGUAGGCAAGCCAAACCAUUCCAUGCACUGGAGAGAGAACCAAAGUUCAACCUGAAUGAUUUUAGGGGCUUGCUGCGGGAGCCUCACAGCGUUUGCUCAAAGCCCUCAACCUGGAACAGGUAAACCAAUUUAUACAGGGAGUCACUGGUAGCCUGCAGGCAUUAGAAGGCUGUAGCAGAUUGAAGAUCCUUUAGUAAGACUUUUUUUAAAGGCUGGUGCAAGUCUCACCUCUCAUAGGACUAAGUACGUUUCAGUUAACUGCUGUCUUCUUCUCUAAACGGCAGCAAUACCCCCUUAGCCUUAAACCAACCCCCACCUUCUCUAACCCUGCUGAUGGUCAUUUUCUUGUGACACCCUCUCCCCUAGGGCAUGAAGACAUUUGCAAAGAGCUUCUUCUCUCCCAGGCACCCCUGCUCAGCUCCCUUGUACACACAUGUCUUCUCACACGGACAGGAUGGGAUUCCUCCGUCCCAGACAGCACCUGUGCAGGAAAUUGUACCGGGUCUGCAACAGCAGGAGGCGCCAGGCACACAUGCAGGCACCUACACCUGCCCCUGUGGUAAUACCUACACCCGUACACAGCACCAGCACUGGGACUAAAGCUGCCUUGCCUGGCUUCCUGGAAAAGGAGACAAUCUUGCAGGGCCUUUGGAAACACAGCAAGGGGCCCCACAUCCGGGGAAAGAAAGUGGGAACAGCGUGAGCAACAGGAGGCAGCAGCCAGGAUGAUGAAUACUGCUGGGAAGGUGAAUGAAAUGGACGGCCCAAUCCAGUUCCACCAGUGCACAGCCUUCCCAAAGCCCCUGUGUCUAGUGGUGUGGCUUAUAAGCUGGAGUGAGGAGGCUCCAGACUGGCUCUUGGCUAGUGGACUUUCUGACUCCAGACGUGCUGCGCGGAUCUCUAUAUAAUUCAGCUAGAAGAUGGAAGGGAAGACAGAAGUGUCUCAAGAUACCCGGUCACCCAGGAUUGCCACAGCAACACAUGAAGAAAGGCAUGGAUGAAGGACUGAGCCAGUGGAAGUAAACUUGCAGUUUCAAUCUCUGGCUUUGGAACACCUGGCUUUUGGUUUUUUACUGCAGAGCACCGGGUCAAAGAAGUUCAUCCUCAAAACAAUUCAGCCUUGUACGCUUAACAGAAGACUAAAAUGGAAAACAGUGAGCAGUCUCUGCUGACGAAACUGCAGCGGUCAAACGUACAGAAGGUGGAUGACGUUACGCCAAUUCGGUUACUGGGAAAUACCAGUCGGUAAUGUGAAGGUUCCUGUGAAGGUCACAGACUGUACCCCACAGCCAAGAAAAACAAACGCUAUUCCAGCAGGAGGAGAACAGAGCUAGACAAAACCCUGAGGAUCCGAAGCACCAGUUUCCAGCAAAUUACCAAGAAACAGGAGGCUACAGCUCCCUCCAGUGCGCACAGCCAGACCCGCCUAGUGCUUGGUCCCGGCCCUCAGCCGGCCUCUGGUGAACAGGAACCUGAGCAUUAAACCAACUGGGGAGGGGGAAAAUCCAUUUCCAACUAGGUUAUGUGAUCACUCGUUCAAGCUGUGGUGAGCACAGUGAGAAAAACGUUGCUCUCUUUUGGCGCCCAUCCUGGCUACCUACAAAGCAUGCCUGAAACGCUACAUUCCUCUGGCACCUUGGUGGAGAUCCCCUAAAGGCUUACGGAAGGGAAGAUAAGUCCACAUCACCGGAGCCAUUCAAGAAUACAGCAGAGGAGGUGGAAACAUUGAACUAGAAGAUCAUAGAACAACUUUACCUACAGUUGUAAAAGGAGCGAUUGCGUAGCUAUUCUCUCUGGGUUAGGCAUGAUGACUGCCAUUUUGAAUCACCACAUGAGACCCGCAGGAGACCAGACCUACUGAUAGAGCCUCAUGGUGGAAAGGUGUUCCUCUCACAGGGAGGAACUCUGCUUCCUGUCAUGGUCUUAUAGCAUCUGGGCCAGCCAGGUUAAUGCCGCACCUGGCCUUUGUGAGAGAAUCUGUUUAUGGCAAAGAGACGUGAUUAAUGAGGAAACACAUAUGAUGGUGGCAUGCUCCGCCCUACAUGGGACCACUAUAUCAUCCCCAUCAAGGACCAGAGAACAUCAUCCAGGAGAAGGCAGGAAGAACACAGAAGCCAGAGGAAGAGGUCUAGCUAGAAGAUGUCUUCUGCACUCAAGAACUAACUGAAGUUGCGGCUAUCUGAACAAGACUGCCAGGAGACAGGGUCCAAUACCCUUUCUUCAGGGUUGUGGGAGGGACUCAUAAGGCUCCUCCUCUUCCUGAAGGGCAGGCGGAAGCUAAUGGUUGCCAGGAGACAUGGAGGUCGCUUUUGUCAGUGGUGUGACUGCUGAGAAGAUCCCCUGGCUCCAGUAAAGGUCCCACCCACAUAGAGCUCUAAUGAAACUCAGUGGGUCACCCACAAAGGCAAGAGACAGGAGCACUUGAUAGAAUAUGGGUUUCAGUAGGAAAGGAGUGGGAGUGACACGGGAGAAUGGGAGGUUUAAAAACGACUGAACCUCACUGUAGAAAAGUGUGAAGUUAUCAAACGACAGCAACAGAACGUGUCCACGAGGAAAUGGCAAGACCCAGACAGCCUUCUGUUUAAAAGAGAUAUAUUCUUUACCAUUCAAGCAUCUCUGUGUUUUAAGAAAUCUCCAUAAAUAACUUUCUCAAGUUGCUUUUUAAAUAAAGAUUACCCAGCAGACUUUGAGUUUUUUUCUGACAUGAAUCUGGAGUAAUAAUAUUCUGUCUUAACGAUGAAAUUCAGGCCCCUACUUUUGCUAAAUUCCAGGGCAGCAGAGAGCAAUGAAGGGUUUUCUUUUU